CCUACGGGAGGCUGCAGUGAGGAAUCUUCGUCAAUGGACGAGAGUCUGAACCAGCCACGUAGCGUGAAGGAUGACUGCCCUAUGGGUUGUAAACUUCUUUUAUAAAGGAAUAAAACGAGGCACGUGUGCCUUUUUGCAUGUACUUUAUGAAUAAGGAUCGGCUAACUCCGUUCCAGCAGCCGCGGUAAUACGGAGGAUCCGAGCGUUAUCCGGAUUUAUUGGGUUUAAAGGGAGCGUAGAUGGGUUGUUAAGUCAGUUGUGAAAGUUUGCGGCUCAACCGUAAAAUUGCAAUUGAUACUGGCAGUCUUGAGUACAGUUGAGGUAGGCGGAAUUCGUGGUGUAGCGGUGAAAUGCUUAGAUAUCACGAAGAACCCCGAUUGCGAAGGCAGCUUACUAAACUGUGACUGACAUUGAUGCUCGAAAGUGUGGGUAGCAAACAGGAUUAGAUACCCUAGUAGUC
rnacentral:rRNA from 1 species